rnacentral:lncRNA from 1 species
AGACUGAGGAACGAAUGGACUUCCCUCCCUCAAAGCUCUUGCAAUCUUAGGGUCAUCAUCCCCUGGUCCAUUGUGACCUAUGUGUGUGUUUGUCACAGGUUUGCUUCAUGCCCAGGCAAGAAAUGCCUUCACGGAGUGCUUUCCUGUGUCAGGUCCAGUAACGACACGUUAAAUCCUGACUCCUUAACAGAAGCAGAAUGGGCAUGCUAUCCAACUCUGCUCCAUCUGAUUCAAUCCCUGGAACUGGAAACCUCAGUUGGAUUUGAAGCGUAUACACCUGGACCAUCCUGACAGCAAGUUCCCUGAUAAAUUAUCUGCAACUGGAAGAAUGGAGCAGACAAGCAUGGAGAGAAGGGACAUGUGGCCUGAUUGUUUGAGGGUUUCCAGGCUCAUUUUCUGCAGACCUGUUUCACUGUCUCUGCUCUGCUCACUGUUUCGCUAAAAGUGGUCUUUGUAGAUCUUCAUUUAGUGUGUUUCCUUAUAUUAUUAUUAUUUUUUAGAUGGGGUCUUGCUACAUUGCCCA